GAAAUGCGAUAAGUAAUGUGAAUUGCAGAAUUCAGUGAAUCAUCGAAUCUUUGAACGCAUCUUGCGCUCCUUGGUAUUCCAUGGAGCAUGCCUGUUUGAGUGUCACGUAAACCCUCACCCUUGCGAUGUAACAGUCGCCCGCGGUGGACUUGGACUGUGCCGUAACCGGCUCGUCUUGAAAUGCAUUAGCUGGCGCUUUUAGAGUGCUGGGCGACGGUGUGAUAAUUAUCUGCGCCAAUGCCUUAGGCCUCUUCAGCGGUGCYGCUUACGGCCGUCCCUCUGCGGACACGCGAUUUUAAAGCUUUGGCCUCAAAUCAGGUAGGACUACCCGCUGAACUUAA
rnacentral:rRNA from 1 species